UUUUAAGUAACGAUAUUUAUAUAGCUGUGAAAUAUUAAUUUGCAAUGACAUAAUAAAUUUUUUUGAACAUUAAUCUCAUUAUAGGUUCUUAUUAUAUUUGUUCUUUUUGAUACAAUGCCUAAAACUACCCAUAACCCCUCCUAAAACCCUUAUAUAGGAGGAUAAUGCGCUUCAAUACACUCGAACCCACAUCCUCAUGUAUUGACAAUAAUGUCGAUGCCAAUUGAGCUAAGACU
rnacentral:lncRNA from 1 species